rnacentral:rRNA from 1 species
GAACGAGAAAGCCCCGGCUUGCCGGGGUGAGUAAAGUGGCGCACGGGUGAGUAACACGUAGCCAACCUACCCUCGAGUGGGGGAUAACCUGGGGAAACUCGGGCUAAUACCGCAUACGUCCGGGCUGCACAAGCAGUUUGGAGUAAAGGCCCGCAAGGGUCGCUGGAGGAGGGGGCUGCGGCCGAUUAGCUAGUUGGUGAGGUAACGGCUCACCAAGGCUAUGAUCGGUAGCCGGCCUUAGAGGGCGCACGGCCACACUGGCACUGAAAUACGGGCCAGACUCCUACGGGAGGCAGCAGUGGGGAAUUUUGCACAAUGCCCGAAAGGGUGAUGCAGCAACGCCGCGUGAGGGAUGAAGGCCUUCGGGUCGUAAACCUCUUUCGACCGGGAAAAAUGGGCGCGCGAAGAGCGCGUUCUGAUGGUACCGGUGGAAGAAGCCCCGGCUAACUACGUG